rnacentral:lncRNA from 1 species
GACAUUAAAAACUGAAUAUCUUGACAGACCUGCUUUCACAUCAAGAAAAUUCACACAUAUUAGACUUCAAAAUAGGAAGGUGUACUUCCAGGUCCCAAAUUAAAAUAAAAUAGAAGAGAACAACAUCAAUAGAAAAACAUAUGAGUGAAUCACCAAAAAGUAAAAACAGGGAAAAUAAAAUUACUCCGCCAAAUCAGAGAAAUAAAAGAGAACAAAUAGUGUUUGAAAACAAUUAUUAUCAGGUAAAACACAUCAAUGAAUUACCCAAAACAAUUAGGUAAAAAUUAAUUACAUCAAAUACAAUAUUCUAGGCCAAUAAAUUGAAAAAAAGAUAUAGAAAGAAGGAAAAAUGAUUCCAAAGCGAUCGACCUGGUAUAAGAAUACGUUGAAUUUGUCCCUCCGAGCAACUUGUCUCCUUCCUAUUAUAUUACCAUGAUUAAUAAUGAGAAAGCAAUAGGGAGAGAUUUCUAUCGCUUAAAAAAAAGCAAGAGGGAGAAUUCUAAAGCUUUGCCUGAUAUAAGUCCUUCAUUUGAGUAUACGCAGUUUUUGCUCAUUACUGCUUCUAAUGAAUCUCAAUAUUGGAUUGGCAAUUAGGAAGAUAAAAUGAAAUACAACCAAUUUGUAGAAGAGAAGAACCAUUACUAUAAACCUUUUCAUUGUGCAUAACGUUUCGGCUAUUAUUUGCAUGACAACGUUUAGGUAUAGUCAUGUGUAAUUGAUUGUUAGAGUCGGUUACAAAAUACAUAAUUAUAGAAAAUAAAAAAAGAACCAAACAAUGAGAGAAAAAGCUAAAAAAAUAAGAAAAAAGAUAAAUAGCAAUCCUAGUCUAUGAGAGGUGCC